GACUGGAUGGUGUAGUUGGUUAUCACGUAUCGCUCACAGCUGGAUUCACUCCACUGGUUCCGAUAAGGUCCUGGGAUCGAACCCCAGUCUAGUCA
rnacentral:tRNA from 1 species